UGGGGAAUCUUCCGCAAUGGACGAAAGUCUGACGGAGCAACGCCGCGUGAGUGAAGAAGGUUUUCGGAUCGUAAAACUCUGUCUUUUGGGGCGAACGUGAGUAUGGUGAACAAUCAUAGUCAGUGACGGUACCAAAGGAGGAAGCCACGGCUAACUACGUGCCAGCAGCCGCGGUAAUACGUAGGUGGCAAGCGUUGUCCGGAAUUAUUGGGCGUAAAGAGCGCGUAGGCGGGAUAGUCAGUCUGUUGUAAAGUGCGGGGCUCAACCCCGUGAUGGCAAUGGAAACAGCUAUUCUUGAGUGCAGGAGAGGAAAGUGGAAUUCCCAGUGUAGCGGUGAAAUGCGUAGAUAUUGGGAGGAACACCAGUGGUGAAGGCGACUUUCUGGACUGUGUCUGACGCUGAGGCGCGAAAGCCAGGGGAGCGAACGGGAUUAGAUACCCCGGUAGUCCUGGCCGUAAACGAUGGGUACUAGGUGUGGGAGGUAUCGACCCCUUCCGUGCCGGAGUUAACGCAAUAAGUACCCCGCCUGGGGAGUACGGUCGCAAGACUGAAACUCAAAGGAAUUGAC
rnacentral:rRNA from 1 species